ACGCCUGUAGCUCAAUUGGUAGAGCACCGGUCUCCAAAACCGGCGGUUGGGGGUUCGAUUCCCUCCGGGCGUG
rnacentral:tRNA from 2 species